GAUGAAGAACGUAGUGAAAUGCGAUAAGUAAUGUGAAUUGCAGAAUUCAGUGAAUCAUCGAAUCUUUGUACGCACAUUGCGCCCGCCAGUAUUCUGGCGGGCAUGCCUGUCUGAGCGUCAUUUCAACCCUCAUGCCCCUAGGGCGUGGUGUUGGGGAUCGGCCAAAGCCCGCGAGGGACGGCCGGCCCCUAAAUCUAGUGGCGGACCCGUCGUGGCCUCCUCUGCGAAGUAGUGAUAUUCCGCAUCGGAGAGCGAUGAGCCCCUGCCGUUAAACCCCCAACUUUCCAAGGUUGACCUCAGAUCAGGUAGGAAUACCCGCUGAACUUAAGCAUAUCAAUAAGCGGAGGA
rnacentral:misc_RNA from 1 species